rnacentral:rRNA from 1 species
AACGAACGCUGGCGGCAUGCCUAACACAUGCAAGUCGAACGAGACCUUCGGGUCUAGUGGCGCACGGGUGCGUAACGCGUGGGAAUCUGCCCUUCGGUUGGGAAUAACUGAGAGAAAUUUCAGCUAAUACCUUAUAAUGUCUUCGGACCAAAGAUUUAUCGCCGAGGGAUGAGCCCGCGUAGGAUUAGGUAGUUGGUGGGGUAAUGGCCUACCAAGCCGACGAUCCUUAGCUGGUCUGAGAGGAUGAUCAGCCACACUGGGACUGAGACACGGCCCAGACUCCUACGGGAGGCAGCAGUGGGGAAUAUUGGACAAUGGGCGAAAGCCUGAUCCAGCAAUGCCGCGUGAGUGAUGAAGGCCUUAGGGUUGUAAAGCUCUUUUACCCGGGAUGAUAAUGACAGUACCGGGAGAAUAAGCACCGGCUAACUCUGUGCCAGCAGCCGCAGUAA